UACGUAGGGUGCGGGCGUUAAUCGGAAUUACUGGGCGUAAAGUGUGCGCAGGCGGCCGCGCAAGUCGAGUGUGAAAGCCCCGAGCUUAACUUGGGAAUUGCGCUCGAAACUACGUGGCUGGAGUGUGGCAGAGGAAGGUGGAAUUCCACGUGUAGCGGUGAAAUGCGUAGAUAUCUGGAGGAACACCGGUGGCGAAGGCGGCAUUCUGGACCAUAACUGACACUGAGAGACGAAAGCCAGGGGAGCAAACGGG
rnacentral:rRNA from 1 species